rnacentral:rRNA from 1 species
GACGAACGCUGGCGGCGUGCCUAACACAUGCAAGUCGAACGAGAUCCAUGGGAGCUUGCUCCCGGAAGAUCUAGUGGCGAACGGGUGAGUAACACGUGAGAAACCUGCCCUGGAGUGGGGAAUAACUCGGGGAAACUCGAGCUAAUACCGCAUACCCUCGGAUGGUCGCAUGGCCGACCGAGGAAAGAUUUAUCGCUCUAGGAGGGUCUCGCGGCCUAUCAGCUAGUUGGUGGGGUAACGGCCUACCAAGGCAACGACGGGUAGCUGGUUUGAGAGAACGAUCAGCCACACUGGGACUGAGACACGGCCCAGACUCCUACGGAGGCAGCAGUGGGGAAUCUUGCGCAAUGGGCGAAAGCCUGACGCAGC